GACCACGUAGCUCAGUUGGCAGAGCAUUGGGCUAGCAUUCCAAAGGUCGUAGGUUCGAUUCCCACCGUGGCA
rnacentral:tRNA from 1 species